rnacentral:rRNA from 1 species
CCUACGGGAGGCAGCAGUGAGGAAUAUUGGUCAAUGGGCUUACGCCUGAACCAGCCAAGUCGCGUGAGGGAAGACGGCCCUAUGGGUUGUAAACCUCUUUUGUCAGGGAGCAACGCCGGCUACGUGUAGCCGGACUGAGAGUCCCUGAAGAAAAAGCAUCGGCUAACUCCGUGCCAGAAGCCGCGGUAAUAGGGAGGAUCGGAGCGUUACCCGGAUUUAUUGGGUUUAAGGGUGGCGUAGGCGGAAUGCCAAGUCAGCGGUAAAAUCGCGGGGCUCAACCUCGCUCUGCCGUUGAAACUGGCGUGCUUGAGUGGGCGAGAAGUAUGCGGAAUGCGUCGUGUAGCGGUGAAAUGCAUAGAUAUCACGCAGAACUCCGAUUGCGAAGGCAGCAUACUGGCGCCGAACUGACGCUGAAGCACGAAAGCGUGGGUAUCGAACAGGAUUAGAUACCCGGGUAGUC